UACGAAGGGGGCUAGCGUUGCUCGGAUUGACUGGGCGUAAAGGGCGCGUAGGCGGUUCGUACAGUCAGACGUGAAAUUCCUGGGCUCAACCUGGGGGCUGCGUUUGAUACGUGCGGGCUUGAGUUCGGAAGAGGGUCGUGGAAUUCCCAGUGUAGAGGUGAAAUUCGUAGAUAUUGGGAAGAACACCGGUGGCGAAGGCGGCGACCUGGUUCGAUACUGACGCUGAGGCGCGAAAGCGUGGGGAGCAAACAGG
rnacentral:rRNA from 1 species